UACGGAGGGGGCUAGCGUUGUUCGGAAUUACUGGGCGUAAAGCGCACGUAGGCGGCUUUGUAAGUUAGAGGUGAAAGCCCAGAGCUCAACUCUGGAAUUGCCUUUUAGACUGCAUCGCUUGAAUCAUGGAGAGGUCAGUGGAAUUCCGAGUGUAGAGGUGAAAUUCGUAGAUAUUCGGAAGAACACCAGUGGCGAAGGCGGCUGACUGGACAUGUAUUGACGCUGAGGUGCGAAAGCGUGGGGAGCAAACAGG
rnacentral:rRNA from 1 species